CGUUGACUAACUUGGUUGGCCCCGCGUAUUCUUGGGACAUAACACAUAUAUAAGACUGUUAUUGCUUGAGAAUACACGUAGUUAACAAGUUUAAACUUAC
rnacentral:pre_miRNA from 1 species